ensembl:lncRNA
AGAAUGUGCCACCCAUUCAGCCCUCCACACCCAGUGUACAGGAGAGCUUCUUAAACUCCCCCUCCUUCCAUCCUGUUGUGGAGGAGUUGAUCCCACUUCAAGUAGGGGACUUCUUGGCCAUUUUCAACUGGGAUGUGGUGUUGUCAAGGAGGACAGGAGGAUAAAGAACCAGGCAGUAGAGGAAAGUUGAUUACGGAGCAAAGGAACACCUCAGUUGUGAAAAGAGGCUAAUCCGAAAGGCUGCUUGGGGAGAUGGGCAAAUUAAAAAGUCAAAAACAUAUCAGAAAAACUCACAGACGAGUGGAACACCAGCAACAGCCUUUUGCAGAAACGGCUAGUUCUGAAGUCUUCGCUGGCUCUCUCUCUGACUGGGGGCCUGCCUUGCUUUCUGAUGUCUGUCUAAAUUAACCCCUGGUUAUUGAAAGUCAAGACCCAUUUGUAUGAGUCAAGAAAGAAGUUGUUCUCCUGAAAUCAUGAUGGCCGUCAACUAUGCAGGAGCAGCCCAGAGUUUCUGGUGAGGUGAGAACAUUGAUUUUCCUGUUGCUUGCACAACUCACCUUUUCACACUCCAGAAAACCUGGCAGAAAACAUGUUGGUGCUCAGGAUCAAGUGACUGAAUUAAGGUUGCCAUGACUCCCUACCUACUUUUGAUGCCAUUUUGUAACAUUGGUGUAAGUGGAGAAAAAGCUAUGAGGAGAGAACAUUGUGUGAUAAGGGAGGGCAUUCUAGCUUACCUCAUGUAAAGGAGGACUAAGAAUUGCAUUUAACUCUGCUCUGAAAAAUCCCAUAUUAAUUUUUAAAUGUGUAUUCUACCCCAACGACAGUACUUAAAAAAUACGUAUUUUUUAAUUUCGGAAGAUAUUUCCUUCUGAUAUUAAAUGUUUCAAGACAGAAUAGAGUAGUAGAUAAUACCCACUUACCUCUGGGCUGGCACCCACUUACCUCUGUGCAACUACGGGCAAGCUAUUUGACCUCCUUUUGCCUCAGCUUUAUCAUUCAUAAUAUGAAGACAAUAAUAAAUACUAUAUUAUGAAGUUGGUGUGAGGAUUAAGUUAGAUAAUCCAUAGAAAUCCAGUGAGAAAAGUGUUUGGGACAUAUAAACACUCAAAAACUAUUAGUUUACAUAGAGGAAAUCGGAGACCAUUGGGGCAGAAGGUGGCAACAUAAUUUUUGGAUCUUUCCAAAUGCUGCAUAAAAAAAGACAUAGACAACUAGAUAAAAAGAUAAAAAACCCUAUGAACAACACAAAAAAGUGACAAAAUAUUCCCAUUAACUCCAAAAAUAUAAGCAGAUGGGAGCAGAUUAUCAAUAGCCACAAGAACUAGAUGUUUUCAGCUUCCACGAAGGGGGAAGCAAUGGGAAGCACCAGACAUCUGUCAGACCUGAGAACAGGAGAGUCCCCGCAACGUCAACAGCUAUCCACUAAAAGUGCAGAAUGCCAGUUUGAGAAAUGGAGAGAUUUUGCCCGAUCUAACAGCAGUGCAAAUAGUCUGAGAGUAAGGACUGGGGGCACUGGAGCAGGCUAGCCCUUGUGAACCCUCAUCACAUAUUUGUCAUGGUUCCAUUCAUAAUAGAACCCCAUAUUGAGGAGAAGCAAGUAGAUUUGAAUGGAAGUUGAGGAUAGAGACAAUACAGUUGAAGGAAAGAGAAGGUCCAUAUAAAAAUAGAUGAGGAGAAAGAUCCAGAAAAUCUCAAAAAAAAAAAAAAA